AUGUCAUGUAGAGGACACUUUCUAAGCAUCUCCUUGAAUCUAUCCCAUGCCUCAUAAAAUUGAUCAAUCUCAAGCUGUCAAAAUUGAGUGAAUUCACUCUUAAUUU